rnacentral:lncRNA from 1 species
AGUGUAGUGGUUUGGAGUAUUUACUCCCUCAGACAAGGUCUUGGGUUCGAGUCCUAGCAUCUGUGUUGUGUGUGUGAGUUUAAUAUGCUAUCGCCCCUUUCAAUAGGGAAGGUCCUCAAAAAAAAAAUAAAUUCAAUCUAAGGGUUUGAGGAUUGACACAUCACACUUGAAAAAGGGGUCCCAUUUUUGACACGUCAGCAUUUAACAGAUUCACUAACAGUUCGGCUAACGGAGGGGGCAAAUUGUAGGGUUUCCGCAACAUUGAGUAUGUAUUGGUAAAUGUCCCAAAAAUCGGGUAUGAACUCCUAAAUGACCCUAUAGAUUUGGGGAUUUACUGUAGUUUGUCCCCAAAAAAAAAAAAACCUUACCCAAAUCCAAUAGUCAAACUAAAUUCCAAAUCAAGCACUUCGAUGUCGUUUCGUCCAUACACGUCUAAGACCACAACUCCGUCGUCA